rnacentral:rRNA from 1 species
UACGUAGGGUGCGAGCGUUGUCCGGAAUUAUUGGGCGUAAAGAGCUCGUAGGCGGUUUGUUGCGUCUAUCGUGAAAACCUGCGGCUUAACUGUGGGCUUGCGGUGGAUACGGGCAGACUUGAGUUCGGUAGGGGAGACUGGAAUUCCUGGUGUAGCAGUGAAAUGCGUAGAUAUCAGGAGGAACACCGAUGGCGAAGGCAGGUCUCUGGGCUGACACUGACGCUCAUGCACGAAAGCGUGGGGAGCAAACAGG